CUUGUUUCUUUGGUAUAACUCAAGAAGCCCAGCAACUGUAAGGCUUAUUCAAAUCUCUGCUGCUGAAUCCGUGCUUUUUUGAUACUGACUCAACUCAAAACUUUGUAAACAUUGAAAAGUUUGUAAACUGAGAAAAAUCCCUUUCUCUAGAUUUUAAAUACAUUUUUCCAUGCUGAUCGUGCACUAAAACCAGUUCAUCUUCACACUGGAAAAGGACCUGAUUCUAAGAUCUUGUGCUGUGCAGGAAGAAUACGUCUCCCUGGACAGGUGCAGACAGCCCUGAACUUGCUUUGCUCACGCUCUGCACUCUUUGGAUGGGUGCCCUGUUACACAGCACAGCUCCUGAGCCUUCCCAUGCUCACUCGUAAUAGGAAUAUAACUUGGAAAUGUUUCACACUGGUCUUGGGAGAACAAGAACAGGAUGCCUUGCUCCUUGUACCAGAUUCAUUUCCAGGCAACCUCUUCAUCUGGCUGUUUGUCCUGCUGGCUCCCUGGCUGAAGAUCAUUAGAGACAGUCCUAAAGGUGAGUUAAUGGAAGCAAGCAGUACUUUUCCCAAGUUGCUUAACUGGAGUACUGCUUGUGCCCUUGAAACACAAACCAAAAUAUCUCCAGAGUCUGCCAUCCUUCUCCAAGGUCUCCAAAGCCACACCUAUGGUGGCCAGGGCUUUUGCUUGGUUGUACCAAGC
rnacentral:lncRNA from 14 species